AAAACAUUCAUUGGCUUUCUUGAGUUGUGAUUUAAUAAUACCUGGGACCAAAAUAUAAUUGCUUACACAAGCUUUUCUUGCUAAGACUUUGACAUCAGAAUGAUGAUUACAGCAUGAUGGAUAGCUGAAGGAAACCUAAGCUUUGGGAUGUUGUUGAGAAGGGGUUGGUCUUGUUUGCCUGUUACUGAAGUAAAUUUCUUUGUUUUUAUUCUGCAAAAACAAUGAUCAGAGUAUAAAUUGUUCAAUCUGGAGGGACAUCUGCAAUCCUGUGAGGAGUCUUUCUAAACUCUCUCAAGACACUCUUUCACAGCUCAUCUAUAACCAACACCUUUUCUCAGGACAGACGCCUUGGAGUGAACUCAGCAGGGUCACGCUGAUGUAGACUUUGGAGCUGUUACCUACCUGACUGGGAAGAUGCUACUUCAAGUAAAUACUGUCCUCCCCAUACAAUGCAGAGGCAUCUAGGAGCAAUUUCCCAUCUGGAAAAAACCACUUACUCCUUGAAAGAUGGUGAAGAUGAAGGGAUAUGAGGGUGAAGCUUCUUCAGUUUUGGGUGACAGCUCACACUAAACAACUGCACUUCUUUUGAAAUCCAAGUGAAACAUUUAUUUGGUGGUCAAUAAUUUAUUUGAUCUUUGUUGCUUCCUUCCCCUCUGCUCUAUAAACUCAAACAGAGUCCCUUUCAUCUGGUGCUGAUGUACCCCAGACAAACUCAGCAUCACACGGUGGGAGGCAAAGUCCAAGACAGACGCUAAGUUUUAGAUGCAGAUCCCAUGUCCCCUUCCAGAGGGCAAUAGGACAGACCAAGUUUCCUCUCAGCUGCCUGCAUUGAUCAGCAAAGUGCAGGAAAGGUGGGAGCUCGGAGGAGAGGAGCAGUAGCUUCCCCGGCUAGUACCUCCCCAGCCCCGCACACGGCUGCACAGGAGCCAAGGGAAUUGAAGGCUUUCUGCCAGCUUUAGCAGGCUUUGUGGCAGGCCCUACAAAAAAACACCUCCUGGCAUCAGAUCCUAAUUGUCUUGGGGCUUAUUAGGCAAAUGCAUACCUGAAAGUACGAAAAANAAAAAAAGAAAUGUUUCUCUUCCUCCCUACUGUUUCUCUUCCCACUCUCAAAUUUCUGAACUUGAGAUAUGUUUUUUUUUUUUUACCUCGUAUUGUAAAUUAUGACUGACAAUGCCAUGUAAGAACACGAGGAAAAUAAAUUAAAAGGAAAAGAUCA
rnacentral:lncRNA from 1 species